AACGAACGCUGGCGGCAGGCUUAACACAUGCAAGUCGAACGGUUGUAGCAAUACAGCAGUGGCGCACGGGUGAGUAAUACUUGGGAACGUGCCUUGGAGUACGGGAUAACGUCGGGAAACUGACGCUAAUACCGUAUAUUCCCCUCGGGGGAAAGAUUUAUCGCUCCAAGAUCGGCCCAAGCCAGAUUAGGUAGUUGGUGGGGUAAUGGCCUACCAAGCCUACGAUCUGUAGCUGGUCUGAGAGGACGACCAGCCACACUGGAACUGAGACACGGUCCAGACUCCUACGGGAGGCUG
rnacentral:rRNA from 1 species